AGCAGAUACUUUAAUGAUAAAGAGUGGGUGAAAAAAUCCUCACAUCAUGCUGCAUAACAGUACAUUUCAGCUGUAACAAAACAAAUUAUCUGAUGAAAGACUCAACCACGAGAAUAGGAAAGGAUGUCAAGUCCAAAGAGAAGGCCAUAUAACAGAUGGUUGCUGAAUUCAUGAAGACUGGAAUGAAACAGUACUUUUCUACUCUUAUGAACCAUAUCGAAAUAUCAUUUGAGGAUCCCUUUCUCAGAAAAGAAGAAUUUGCAUAUUCAAAG